GAUGAAGAACGCAGCGAAAUGCGAUACGUAAUGUGAAUUGCAGAAUUCAGUGAAUCAUCGAGUCUUUGAACGCACAUUGCGCCCCCUGGUAUUCCGGGGGGCAAGCCUGUCCGAGCGUCAUUGCUGCCCUCAAGCACGGCUUGUGUGUUGGGCCUCCGUCCUCCUCCCGGGGGACGGGCCCGAAAGGCAGCGGCGGCACCGCGUCCGGUCCUCGAGCGUAUGGGGCUUCGUCACCCGCUCUUGUAGGCCCGGCCGGCGCUUGCCGACACAUCAAUCUUUUUUCCAGGUUGACCUCGGAUCAGGUAGGGAUACCCGCUGAACUUAAGCAUAUCAAUAAGCGGAGGA
rnacentral:misc_RNA from 1 species